AGACACCUUUAUCUCCAAUGUCUCAACAGCCUAAUUUGACACAUGAGGAGACAAUGAUUGAAUCAGCUGCAUCUCCAAAGUCUCAACAAAAUGAGGAUUACACGCAACCAUCGAGUGAGACGCCUUUAUCUCCAAUGUCUCAACAGCCUAAUUUGACACAUGAGGUAUGUAACCAAUAAAAUAUUGUUGAGUUUUGAAGUAAUAUUUGGAAGCUUUUGUACAUAUUCUUGAAUGCAUUCUUGAUUUUUGCAGGAGACAAUAAAUGAAUCAGAUGAUGAAACUCCUGCCCUUGAUACUCAAGUAUUCUCUCCUAAUCUGACAAAAGAGGUAUAUGCUCAAUGAUAUUGUUUUCACAGUUGGAGUUUACAAAUUAGUUUUGGGUGAUUUUUUUUUACAUAUAAAGGCUUUUCUGAUUUUUGACAGAAAGAAACAGAAACGUCUACUCCAAUAGCUCCAAAGAGUAUUGAAACUCUCGUUUAUACUCCAAGUCAGACUCAACAGGUACAUGGUCAAAAAAAAAUCUUGGAUUUUAAAGUUAAUGUUUGGAAGCUUUAGAACAUACUCUGGAUUGACUUCGUGAUAAUUUUUAC